rnacentral:rRNA from 1 species
GAUGAACGCUGGCGGCGUGCCUAAUACAUGCAAGUCGAGCGGACGGACGAGAAGCUUGCUUUUCUGACGUUAGCGGCGGACGGGUGAGUAACACGUGGAUAACCUACCUAUAAGACUGGGAUAACUUCGGGAAACCGGAGCUAAUACCGGAUAAUAUUUUGAACCGCAUGGUUCAAAAGUGAAAGACGGUCUUGCUGUCACUUAUAGAUGGAUCCGCGCUGCAUUAGCUAGUUGGUAAGGUAACGGCUUACCAAGGCAACGAUGCGUAGCCGACCUGAGAGGGUGAUCGGCCACACUGGAACUGAGACACGGUCCAGACUCCUACGGGAGGCAGCAGUAGGGAAUCUUCCGCAAUGGGCGAAAGCCUGACGGAGCAACGCCGCGUGAGUGAUGAAGGUCUUCGGAUCGUAAAACUCUGUUAUUAGGGAAGAACAAAUGUGUAAGUAACUGUGCACGUCUUGACGGUACCUAAUCAGAAAGCCACGGCUAACUACGUG